GGAGGCAUAGCUCAGUUGGUCAGAGCGCACGGUUCACAUCCGUGAGGUCGAGAGUUCAAGUCUCCCUGUCUCCA
rnacentral:tRNA from 1 species